rnacentral:rRNA from 1 species
CAAUAGCGUAUAUUAAAGUUGUUGCAGUUAAAAAGCUCGUAGUUGGAUUUCUGGUGGGAGCGAUCGGUCUGGCGCUUAGCGCGAGUACUUGCAUCGUCUCCGGCCAUCCUUGGGGAGAGUCUGUCUGGCUUUAGGUUGUCGGGCAGAGGAUCCUCAUCGUUUACUGUGAAAAAAUUAGAGUGUUCAAAGCAGGCUUAUGCCGUUGAAUAUAUUAGCAUGGAAUAAUAAGAUAGGACUUUGGUACUAUUUUGUUGGUUUGCGCACCAAAGUAAUGAUUAAUAGGGACAGUUGGGGGUAUUCGUAUUCCGUUGUCAGAGGUGAAAUUCUUGGAUUUACGGAAGACGAACUACUGCGAAAGCAUUUACCAAGGAUGUUUUCAUUAA